rnacentral:rRNA from 1 species
CCUACGGGAGGCAGCAGUGGGGAAUAUUGGACAAUGGGGGCAACCCUGAUCCAGCCAUGCCGCGUGUGUGAAGAAGGCCCGCGGGUUGUAAAGCACUUUCAGUGAGGAAGAACGCCUGGUGGUUAAUACCCAUCAGGAAAGACAUCACUCACAGAAGAAGCACCGGCUAAUUCCGUGCCAGCAGCCGCGGUAAUACGGAGGGUGCGAGCGUUAAUCGGAAUUACUGGGCGUAAAGCGCGCGUAGGUGGCUUGAUAAGCCGGUUGUGAAAGCCCCGGGCUCAACCUGGGAACGGCAUCCGGAACUGUCAAGCUAGAGUGCAGCAGAGGAAGGUAGAAUUCCCGGUGUAGCGGUGAAAUGCGUAGAGAUCGGGAGGAAUACCAGUGGCGAAGGCGGCCUUCUGGACUGACACUGACACUGAGGUGCGAAAGCGUGGGUAGCAAACAGGAUUAGAUACCCUAGUAGUC